ACCCAACCCCCAGCCCUUGCCUCCGUCAGCGAGAGUCAGACCUCUGGGACCUACAGGUGAGAUCAUUUCCUGUGUUUAAAUUGCUAGCACAAAGUAAAAGGAGGGAGCUUGCCAAAAAGCUGCAUUAAAUUCUCCAGCCCUGUGAUUCUCAGGGUUCCUCCCCACCACCUUCUGUUAUUCACGUUUAAAAGCAUAAGCUGGGGUGGGACUUCAAGCAAUCCUUGCAGACUACUACUAAAAGGAGCAGCCACCAGACUACAAACCUAUGCACCAAAUUAGCUGCCAGCCACCAUGCUCAGCACUGCAACAGAUCCCUCACACGGCCAACCGUUCAAGGUGCGCACAAACCAAUUUCCAGUGGGCUCAGGGGCAAAGCCAGACAACACAGGCUGGUGCUCAGACCUGCUUGCUUGGGAUCAGGCACCCCCGCCAGCCCCGGGUCCCAUGCAGAGCAAAGGCACCGUGUGGAAUCGUCACUCAAGGCCAAAUGCAAAAGGAAUGCCAUUUCAGAUGGAGGGUCUGGUACAUCCAAAAAACCAAUUCUUAAGGUGGUGCAAGGAGGUGGGGAGAUGAAAGGCACAUGCUGGCUGGAAAGGGGGAUUUCUGGGCUCCACACAAGAGGAUUUAACUCCAUUUGUUCUCCAUGGUUUCUGAUGCCACUGAGCUCUCUCAGCUGGCUGUCAGUACCACCAGCUUCAGUAAGACGCUGAGCCUGCUUCCACUGAAGCAAACAGGAAAUUCCCACUGAUCUCAACAGCAGCAGGCUCUACAUGCACAGCUCUAACCUGUUUCCCCAAGGCAUUUUUUGGGCCGCUCUUGCAUGUGGGAUAGUUAAAUGCAGACACUCUGCCUUGGGCCUCGUUCUUUGUUGUGCCAUACAAAAUAGGCAGCCAACCGCCAGAUCCCGUCGUGGCUCUCCUGACUUACUGCUCAAGUGAGCUUAGGAACAAGCGUAGUUCCUGCUGUGCAUGGGGGUGUUUAGAAGUGAUGCAGAUGGUACAAGAGAUCCGGUGUCUGCCUGGAUCCAGCACCUGAAGACCCACUUCACCAAAGCUAAACAGGCAGGAGGACUGUGCAUGAAUUACACACUACAACAAGAUGCCAAAUGCUGUUAGGUUCAUUCACAGCCAGACCUGCCAACUUCAAACCCACAGGGUAGCCUGUCCCUGUCCCAUCCCCGUUAUCGUCAGAGCAGCAGGAAGCAGCCCCAGGCCUUCCACGUACCCUUCCACCAUGUGCCUUUGGCAGCACCUGCCCUGCUUCAACCACCCUCAACUAUUUCAGCCGCUGACCCUUCCACCUUGUUGGAGCGGUUAUGGAAUUAAAAUUAAAGUGCUUGCUUUUAACAUGGUGCUUAUUAAUCUAUUUAUGUUGCACAGGGUCCAGCGAUAACAUGGAGCAGGCUCUUUUCGCCGCAUGUUUGCAGACAGAGUCAGACGAGAAAGCUCCUUUGAUCAACUGCCUGGGGGGCGGGGGGAAAGGGGAGGGCUCUCUGGCUACAUAGUUAAUUCUGCGUGGGUGCAGAUUCCUCUCUCUCUGCAUGAAGGUUUAAAAAAAAA